UAUUACAGACUUCCUGUAACAACCACUCCCAAACUGUGAGGAGCCACUCCCAACUUAAUGACUUCUGACAACAAUCACCUUAUAAGCAGUGUUGGGGUGUGAAGGUCGAGGUCCAGGAUGACUCAGCCUUCCGGAUCCAUAGUGAUGUUUCUGUCAUACCUCGUUGGUCAGCCAGCCAUGCAAGCCAAGAUUGCAUCAGGUUGUAGAGGAAACUUCUAAGAUAGACAGAAAUUGAUUUUGUCUACUCCGCAUGAAGAUAAAAUGGAAGAGGUACUCUUCAACCACAAAAUCAAAUUCACUGGAGGUAACACAUUUUCAAAAACGUUCCAACUUAAACACCAGGAAUGAUGACCCGACCUCAGUCCUGCCUUAAACGUGUAGCUCUGCAGCUUUUGGAGAUGCUGUAUUGUUUUUGCAGGAGGGGUAAAGAGGAGGGGACACCUCUGCUUUAACUUGUGGUUUGAUCUGGGUAAAGGACUCGGAGGAAGGAAGACCUAAGGUCAGAGUCCAGAGUUUGCUCUGGAGUCCAGACUGCAGGAUCCCAGCAAACCUGCAAGUCUGGCAGUCCCUUGAUUCACUCCACAGCUAUGAACAAGCUCCCCCUGUGUUUGCUGGGGGCUGUCCUUCAUCUCCCUCCAGGGUCCUCUUUUCUGGAUGGCUGUGAGAACUCAGGAACUCUUUCUUUAAGAACUGUGACAACCAUAGCACUGUGAAGUCCUGGCACAGCGUCCGUGCCCAACAAAUCUCAAAUGUCUUUGUUCACCAUCUCCUUGGAAAGCCAGUUCUGGAAGAAGAAAGAAUGCAGAAACCAGAGAAAGGGUGGGCCAUCCAGUCCAGCUCAUGAGAAUUAUUCUUCAAGCCAUUAAAAGUGCCCACUCCC